rnacentral:rRNA from 1 species
ACAUGCAAGUCGAACGAAGUAGCAAUACUUAGUGGCAGACGGGUGAGUAACAUGUAGGUAUCUGCCCUUUGGCCUGGAAUAACACGAGGAAACUUGUGCUAAUACCGGAUAAGUCUUUACGGAGAAAGCUUUAUGCACCAUUGGAUGAGCCUGCACUUGAUUAGUUUGUUGGUGGGGUAAUGGCCUACCAAGACUGUGAUCAAUAGCUGAUUUGAGAGGAUGAUCAGCCACAUUGGGACUGAGACACGGCCCAAACUCCUACGGGAGGCAGCAGUGGGGAAUCUUGCACAAUGGAGGAAACUCUGAUGCAGCGAUGCCGCGUGAGUGAAGAAGGCCCUUGGGUUGUAAAGCUCUUUCGUCGGGGAAGAAAAUGACUGUACCCGAAUAAGAAGGUCCGGCUAA